rnacentral:pre_miRNA from 1 species
AGUGUCUCCUGCCGUGGAAGACUAGUGAUUUUGUUGUUUUAAAUUCACAUUCUAGACAACAAGUCGCUGUCUGCCUCAGGAGGGGACACC